GGGAAAAAACAAACAAACCAAAACAAAACAAAAAACAGCCACAACAACUCUUCCCUGCUCUCCAAAUCUUACUGGAUUUGGGAGAAAAAAAUUGGGAUCACAUGUGACGUAAGCGUGGUCAUAGCUGCUUAUGUUAGCUUCUUAACGCUCUGAUACAUUCCCACAAAUGCGGCUAGUGAGAUGUCUCAGCAGACAAAGGUACUUGGUACCAAGCCUGGCCAAGACAGUGGAAGGAGAGAGCAUGUCCUCUGACCUUCAUUUUCAUGUCAUCGCGUGUGCACACACACACACACACACACACACACACACUCACUCACUCACAUGCACACACCAAAUACAUAAAAAUUUAUUUUUUCAAUUGGCACAAAUGCACUAUAUUAAUAUAACACAAAUUGUUUGCUUGUUUUACCUAGGUUGUCACUCUGUAGCCCGAGCUCAUAGCAAUUUUCCUGCCUCUCUCCCAUGUGCUUCAAUUACAGGUGCAAGAUACCACACCCAGCCAGAUUCAUUCUUUUUCAUGGUUUUAUAGAUUCAAAGUACUAAGGGGGUCAAUAGAAUGCUCUCUCUCUCUCUCUCUCUCUCUCUCUCUCUCUCUCUCUCCCUACCUCCCUCUUCCUCUUCCUCUUCCUCAUUUUCCCCACCAACACACUUUUUUUUUUUUCAAGAUAGGAUUUCUCUCUGUAGCCCUGGCUGUCCUGGAACUUGCCUGUAGACCAGGCUGGGCUCAAACUCAGAGAUCUACCUGCCUCUGCCUCCUGAGUGCUGGGCUUAAAGUCGUGUGCCACCACCAAUCCAGCUAACACACUUUGUUUUAUAUGCACUUAACUCUUCUUUAUAAGGACCUUACUAAGGUCCACCCAGGUAAUUCAGAAUAGUCUCAUUAUCAAAUUUAUUUUUGAGAUUUUAAGAUCUUUUUAAAUUAUGUGUCUGGGGGAGGUGUAUGCACAUGAGUGCAGCUGCCUGAAGAGACCAGAGGCAUUGGGUCCGCCUAGAGUUGAGGUAUAGACAAUUGUGAGCUGCCCAGUGUAGGUACUGAAUACCAAACCCAUGUGAUCUGCAAGAGCAGUCCAUAUUCCUAACCACUGAGCCAUUUCUCCAGCCCCAUAUUACAAAACUCUGAAUAACAUCACAUCUAAGGUAAGAUCCUGGGGUGGGGAGAUGGACUCUCGUGAUGUCCAGUGUUCCACCUUCCACAGCAGUUUGCUUUGUAGCAGCCCCAUGAUGGAUCAAGUCUCAGUUAUAAAUUUCCCUGACUCUUUCUAAGAGCUCCAUGAGGAGGAGUCUAUCACCACGCCCAUUUUAUGGAUGGGAACUGAGGUUCAGAUUU
rnacentral:lncRNA from 1 species